UACAGAGGUCUCAAGCGUUGCUCGGAUUCAUUGGGCGUAAAGGGUGCGUAGGCGGCGCGGUAAGUCGGGGGUGAAAUCUCGGAGCUUAACUCCGAAACUGCAUUCGAUACUGGCGAUCUUGAGUCCGGGAGAGGUGAGUGGAACUGCGAGUGUAGAGGUGAAAUUCGUAGAUAUUCGCAAGAACACCAGUGGCGAAGGCGGCUCACUGGCCCGGUACUGACGCUGUGGUGCGAAAGCGUGGGGAGCAAACAGG
rnacentral:rRNA from 1 species